CGAGGUGUGGCUCAGCUCGGUAGAGCGCCUGGUUUGGGACCAGGAUGUCGCAGGUUCAAAUCCUGUCACCUCGA
rnacentral:tRNA from 1 species